AUCGCUUCUCGGCCUUUUGGCUAAGAUCAAGUGUAGUGUGUGUUCUUGUCAGUUUAAUAUCUGAUCGUCCUCUGUAUGAGGACAACAUAUUAAAUUGAUUUUAGAACUUUAUGCUCAUUUAAACCAUUUACAGUUCACUGCAUUGAUCUGUAAUUAUUUCCAAGUGAAAUAAAUCAUUU
ensembl:snRNA U2 U2 spliceosomal RNA